AUUUGUGUAGCUUAAUAUAAAGAGCGUUGUGUUGAAGCCGCAAAGGAGGUAGGUUUACCCAUAAAUA
rnacentral:tRNA from 1 species